rnacentral:rRNA from 1 species
UACGAAGGGGGCUAGCGUUGUUCGGAAUCACUGGGCGUAAAGGGCGCGUAGGCGGCCGAUCAAGUCGGGGGUGAAAGCCUGUGGCUCAACCACAGAAUGGCCUUCGAUACUGUUUGGCUUGAGACCGGAAGAGGUCAGUGGAACUGCGAGUGUAGAGGUGAAAUUCGUAGAUAUUCGCAAGAACACCAGUGGCGAAGGCGGCUGACUGGUCCGGUUCUGACGCUGAGGCGCGAAAGCGUGGGGAGCAAACAGGAUUAGAUACCCCGGUAGUCC